rnacentral:rRNA from 1 species
UGGGGAAUAUUGCACAAUGGGGGAAACCCUGAUGCAGCGACGCCGCGUGAGCGAAGAAGUAUUUCGGUAUGUAAAGCUCUAUCAGCAGGGAAGAAACUGACGGUACCUGACUAAGAAGCACCGGCUAAAUACGUGCCAGCAGCCGCGGUAAUACGUAUGGUGCAAGCGUUAUCCGGAUUUACUGGGUGUAAAGGGAGCGUAGACGGAUAGGCAAGUCUGGAGUGAAAACCCGGGGCUCAACCCCGGGACUGCUUUGGAAACUGUUUAUCUAGAGUGCUGGAGAGGUAAGUGGAAUUCCUAGUGUAGCGGUGAAAUGCGUAGAUAUUAGGAGGAACACCAGUGGCGAAGGCGGCUUACUGGACAGUAACUGACGUUGAGGCUCGAAAGCGUGGGGAGCAAACA